UGAGAAAGGGAGACACCCAGGCAGAGAGGAUGCAAAUGGAAUUCCGCAGACAGAAAAGGGAGCGCUUAAGGCACGCAGCGAGUUCCACAGGGGCUGCGGGACUCGCUAGACUGCAUGACUUGACUUGGCGUUGGCUAUUCACAGAAGAAAACAUCUUUUGGUUCCUGCGGUCUCCAGGCUAUUUCAGUGCUUACAGGAAAAAGAUAUCCGACUAAAUGUCACUUCUAAAAUAAGCAGUUGGCCGACGUCAAAAGAAGAGAGGUUGUUUAGUGCACAGAGGAAGAAGGCAGGAAAAUUCGGAUAGUGCGUGAAGCAGAAUAACCCUUCGAAAACGAAGAGGGGGCAACAACAGUCUAAAAUGAGUCCGGUCCCGGAGCAUCCCUCUCCCCUGCCGCCCCGCGGAUUUGUCGUUCUUUCCUCCCUGCUGGGGCGAUAGGCUCGGGUGCCGCCAGCUUCUUGCCGCCGAUUGAAAUUCUCUUAACUUCAAAAGCUGCAGGCUCGGCUUCCGCCUUGGCUAGGAGUGGUAGAGGGUGGCUGGGAAUCCCGGAGCGCCGACGGGAGAUAAGCCACGACGGUCGUUUUCAAUGGGAUCUGAAGCACUGUUUCUGCUACUAAUCGCGCGGACCCUGGGAAACAGCUUCUCUUCGCUUCUUUGCAUGAAAACCCAGCUCCGGAGAGAGGAGGCGGCUGUUGUGGGGGCUGCCUGGGUGAUCCGAGGCCCACCAGGUGCGGUGGACAGCGGUCCUGAACCAUCCCCAGCACCUUCGAAGCCUUGAUCGCGGAGCUUGCACCUGAUGAAAGGCAAAGGGUGAAAGUCCGCAGACCUGGUGCUGGAGCUGGAGCCGCUGCUUCCUGCCGGUGGGUGGGUGGGGGCGUUAUCAGAGAAAAAGAAAAGAAUUAACUUUUCUUUGGUCAAACGUAAGAACAAAGAGAGCAUCCUUUUUAACUAGUAAGAGUCUCCCAAAUGUCAUAGUUACUGUCCUCUGUGACCUUCCAAGCUGUGUCAGGGCUAUUCCCUGGAAGUUUCUGUGAGGCUUGAUCUCUGCAGCUAGAAGGGCCGGCAGUGGGAGUGUUUAUCAGCUGUCCAGGCCUCUUUUGGAGUUCAGAGUCACUGAGUGGUGCCCCUUGGGGGGGGACAUUACCCCCACCCCUUGCCGGGAGAACAAAAUUCACUGGAAGUCAGACUACAGGAGCCCAGAAAUCAAAACUGAACGGAUUCCCUACCCCUCUUCUUCCUUGGGCAUAGGCUGGGGGUGGGGUGGGGCGAGGUCUGCUGAGGACAGCCCCGGUGGACAGCACAGAACCGUUUCCGCUUCAGAAGGUUGACCUGGAGGCUUCUGAAGUCCAGUUUGAACAAGUGCUCUCUGCCUCUGGGCCUCCUGAUGUAUCAGGACACAGGUAUCAGUGACAAGGAACUGGGUGCUUUCUGCCCCCCCAAUGCCUGAUGCUUUUAAGAACCCCCAAAGGCAUCCAGUUCUGCCUUUUUUUUCUCUGUUCCUUGCCCUCCUCAUCUUCCGAAAACCAGAGUCUAGUGGCUUCCUGUUUCUGUUCUGCCAUCUGAAUAGAGGCCCAUAUCCCCACUCACUAUGAGUACCGACAGCAGUCUAGAGCAGAGCCAACAGAAAGGACUGACACCUGAGGCCCUUCCGAAGAUGAUGCAAACCCCCUCCCUUGGGACAAGGCCUGGAUGGGGCCUGUGCAGUUUGUUCUCUCCUCCUGCAUACAAAGGCCAAAGCUUGCUCUAACAGAAGGGGCAUGGUCUCUUAGAUCAUUACUGUUCUGAAACUUGCUCUUUUUUUGGGGGGGGGGGAGGUCAAGACUGGGUUUCUCUGUGUAGCCCUAGUUGUCCUGGAACUCACCCUGUAGACCAGGCUAACCUCGAACUCGCAGAGAUCCCCUUGCCUUUGCCUCCUGAGUGCUUGCUGGGAUUAGAGAUGUGCGCCACCCCAGCCUGGCGAGAGCUGCUGUUAUUACAAAGCUGUUGACAUCCAUGUCUCUUCAUCUACAGAAGAGUUCAUCAAGGGUCUCUGGUGGGCUGCAGUGCCUUUUCUCCCUCAGAUGUAGGGUGACCUAACAAUUGGCUUUAGCCAGGGCUUGAUGACUGUCAGGCCUAGGCUCCUCAUAAGGUCUUCUUGUCUUCUUGCCUGUCUUGAGGAAUC